AUUUUCAUAAUAUAAAUAAUUAUAUUUGACUUCCAAUCAAAAAAUCUGGAAAAUCAGUGUAAAUA
rnacentral:tRNA from 1 species